ensembl:snRNA U2 U2 spliceosomal RNA
AAAUCUGUUAAAAAAAAAAAAUCUGUUCUUAUCAGUUUAAUAUCUGAUACGUCCCCUAUACGGGGACUUCAUAUUAAACGGAUUUUUAGAACAGGGAGGCGAAACAGGGGCUUGCCCCGUUCGCCCCACGCAUCGGCCUGGUAUUGCAGUGCCUCCGGGAACGGUGCACCUUCU